GUGAGGAAUUUUCCGCAAUGGGCGAAAGCCUGACGGAGCAAUGCCGCGUGAAGGAUGAAGGCCUAUGGGUUGUAAACUUCUUUUCUCAGAAAAGAAUUAUGACGGUAUCUGAGGAAUAAGCAUCGGCUAACUCUGUGCCAGCAGCCGCGGUAAGACAGAGGAUGCGAGCGUUAUCCGGAAUGAUUGGGCGUAAAGCGUCUGUAGGUUGUUUAAAAAGUAUUCUGUCAAAGAUUAGGGCUUAACCCUAGAUAGGCAGAAUAAACUUUUAAGCUAGAGUUUGGUAGAGGCAGAGGGAAUUCCCGGUGGAGCGGUGAAAUGCGUAGAUAUCGGGAGGAACACCAAAGGCGAAGGCACUCUGCUGGGCCAAUACUAACACUGAGAGACGAAAGCGAGGGGAGCAAAUGGGAUUAGAUACCCGAGUAGUCC
rnacentral:rRNA from 1 species